UACACGCGUGACUGUAAAUCGCUUUGGAUAAAAGCAUCUGCCGAAUGGCAUAUA
rfam:Salmo salar isolate Sally breed double haploid chromosome ssa18, whole genome shotgun sequence.